rnacentral:rRNA from 1 species
CAGCAGCCGCGGGAAUACGUAGGUGGCAAGCGUUGUCCGGAAUUCUUGGGCGUAAAGGGCUCGCAGGCGGUUUCUUAAGUCUGAUGUGAAAGCCCCCGGCUCAACCGGGGAGGGUCAUUGGAAGCUGGGAAACUUGAGUGCAGAAGAGGAGAGUGGAAUUCCACGUGUAGCGGUGAAAUGCGUAGAGAUGUGGAGGAACACCAGUGGCGAAGGCGACUCUCUGGUCUGUAACUGACGCUGAGGAGCGAAAGCGUGGGGAGCGAACAGGAUUAGAUACCCCGGUAGUCCCUGUCUCUUAUAA